UACGUAGGUGGCAAGCGUUGUCCGGAAUUACUGGGUGUAAAGGGCGUGUAGGCGGGGAUGCAAGUCAGAUGUGAAAAGCCAUGGCUUAACUGUGGUCUUGCAACUGAAACUGUAUCUCUUGAGUACUGGAGAGGGAAGUGGAAUUCCUAGUGUAGCGGUGAAAUGCGUAGAGAUUAGGAGGAACACCAGUGGCGAAGGCGGCUUCCUGGCCAGAGACUGACGCUGAGGCGCGAAAGCGUGGGGAGCAAACAGGAUUAGAUACCCUGGUAGUCCACGCCGUAAACGAUGGAUACUAGGUGUAGGUGGUAACAAGCCAUCUGUGCCGGAGCAAACGCAAUAAGUAUCCCACCUGGGGAGUACGGCCGCAAGGCUGAA
rnacentral:rRNA from 1 species